GGAUAACUCCGGGAAACCGGGGCUAAUACCGGAUAUGAGCCUUGAUCGCAUGAUCGGGGCUGGAAAGUUUUUCGGUUGAAGAUGACUUCGCGGCCUAUCAGCUUGUUGGUGAGGUAAUGGCUCACCAAGGCGACGACGGGUAGCCGGCCUGAGAGGGCGACCGGCCACACUGGGACUGAGACACGGCCCAGACUCCUACGGGAGGCAGCAGUGGGAAUAUUGGGCAAUGGAGGAAACUCUGACCCAGCGACGCCGCGUGAGGGAUGAAGGCCUUCGGGUUGUAAACCUCUUUCAGUAGGGAAGAAGCGAAAGUGACGGUACCUACAGAAGAAGCACCGGCUAACUAUGUGCCAGCAGCCGCGGUAAUACAUAGGGUGCAAGCGUUGUCCGGGAUUAUUGGGCGUAAAGAGCUCGUAGGUGGUUCGAUACGUCGGAUGUGAAAAUCAGGGGCUCAACCCCUGACCUGCAUCCGAUACGGUCGAGCUAGAGUUUGGUAGGGGAGACUGGAAUUCCUGGUGUAGCGGUGGAAUGCGCAGAUAUCAGGAGGAACACCGAUGGCGAAGGCAGGUCUCUGGGCCAAUACUGACACUGAGGAGCGAAAGCGUGGGGAGCGAACAGGAUUAGAUACCCUGGUAGUCCACGCCGUAAACGGUGGGCGCUAGUUGUGCG
rnacentral:rRNA from 1 species